CGCUGGCGGCGUGCCUUAACACAUGCAAGUCGAGCGAUCGGCCUUGCGAGGGGUAACCCUCCUUGGUACGGAGCGGCGAACGGGUGAGUAACACGUGGGCGACCUGCCCUUGACUCUGGGAUAACUCCGGGAAACCGGGGCUAAUACCGGAUGACAUCGCAGCACCGCAUGGUGCAGCGAUCAGAGACUCUUGGCAGUCAGGGAUGGGCCCGCAGCCUAUCAGCUUGUUGGUGGGGUAACGGCCUACCAAGGCCUCGACCGGUAACUGGCGUGAGAGCGUGGACAGGCCACACUGGGACUGAGACACGGCCCACACUCCUACAGUCAGGCAGCAGUGGGGAAUCUUGCACUAUGGGCGAAAGCCUGACGCACGUCGACGCCGCGUGAGGGAUGAAGGCCCUCGUGUUGCAAACCUCUUUCUGCAGGGACGAAGCGAAAGUGACGGUACCUGCAUAACAAGCCCCAGCUAACUACGUGCCAGCAGCCGCGGUAAGACUUAGGGGGCGAGCGUUGUCCGGAUUCGUGGGGCGUAAAGGGUGCGUAUGCUGUGGGGCAUGUCUGAUGUGAAAUCCCGGGGCUCAACCCCGGAUCUGCAUUGGAUACUGCCUUGCUAGACUACUGGAGAGGAGACUGGAAUUUACGGGGUAACGGGGCAAUGCGUAUACAUCGUAAGGAAGACCAGUGACGAAGGCGAGUCUCUGGACAGUUACUGACGAUGAGGCACGAAGACCAGGGGAGCAAACGGGAGUAGAUACCCCGGUAGUCCCGGCAGUAAACGGUGCGCGUUUGUUGUGGGAGGAAUAGACCCCGUCCGUGCUGGAGAUAACGCGUUAAACGCGCCGCUCUGGAGAGUACGGUCGCAAGAUUAAAACUCAGAGAAAUUGACGGGGGCCCGCACAAGCGGUGGAGUAUGUGGCUUAAUUAGAUGCAACGCGGAGCACCUUACCUGGGUUUGACAUGCAUCUCUAAGUCGGUGAAAGCCGGCGACUGGAGCAAUCCAGAAUUUGCACAGGUGCUGCAUGGCUGUCGUCAGCUCGUGUCGUGAGAUGUUGGGUUAAGUCCCGCAACGAGCGCAACCCCUGUGAUCUGUUGCCACCCACCCGCGAGGGUGGAGCACUGUGAUCAGACUGCCCUGUGAGACGGGGAGGAAGGUGGGGAUGACGUCAAGUCAGCAUGGCCCUUACACCCAGGGCUGCACACGUAAUACAAUGUUCAGUACAGAAUGAACCGAUACCGCGAGGUGGAGGAAAUCUUUAAAAUUGAGCCCAAUUCGGAUCUCAGGAUGCAACUUGCAUGCGUGAAGCAGGAAUCGUUAGUAAUGGUGCAUCAGCUACGGCGCCGUGAAUACGUUGCUCGGGCCUAGUACACACCGCCCGUCACAUCAUGGGAGUCACUUGUUCCUGAAGCCGGUGCGCCAACCCGCAAGGGAGGCAGCCGCCUAAGGAAUGAGUGGUAACCUGGGAUGAAGUCGU
rnacentral:rRNA from 1 species